rnacentral:rRNA from 1 species
AUUGAACGCUGGCGGCAGGCUUAACAUAUGCAAGUCGAGCGGAUGAGGAAAGCUUGCUUUUCGAUUCAGCGGCGGACGGGUGAGUAAUGCCUAGGAAUCUGCCUAUUAGUGGGGGACAACAUCUCGAAAGGGAUGCUAAUACCGCAUACGUCCUACGGGAGAAAGCAGGGGAUCUUCGGACCUUGCGCUAAUAGAUGAGCCUAAGGCGGAUUAGCUAGUUGGGGGGGUAGAGGCCUACCAAGGCGACGAUCUGUAGCGGGUCUGAGAGGAUGAUCCGCCACACUGGGACUGAGACACGGCCCAGACUCCUACGGGAGGCAGCAGUGGGGAAUAUUGGACAAUGGGGGGAACCCUGAUCUAGCCAUGCCGCGUGUGUGAAGAAGGCCUUAUGGUUGUAAAGCACUUUAAGCGAGGAGGAGGCUCUUUUGGUUAAUACCCAAGACGAGUGGACGUUACUCGCAGAAUAAGCACCGGCUAACUCUGUGCCAGCCGCCGCCGUAAGAC